GACGAACGCUGGCGGCGUGCUUAACACAUGCGAGUCGAACGGUGAAGCGCCUUCCUUUUUGGUGGGUGUGGAUGAGUGGCGAACGGGUGAGUAACACGUGAGUAACCUGCCCCCUUCUUCUGGAUAACCGCAUGAAAGUGUUGCUAAUACGGGAUAUUCUGGGUCUGUCGCAUGAUGGGUCUGGGAAAGAUAUUGUUUCGGUGGGGGAUGGGCUCGCGGCCUAUCAGCUUGUUGGUGGGGUGAUGGCCUACCAAGGCGGUGACGGGUAGCCGGCCUGAGAGGGGGGAGGGUCACAGUGGGAUGGGGACACGGCCCAGCUUCUAAGGGGAGGAGGCGGUGGGGAAAAUGGAAAAUGGGGGGAAAGCCGGAUCCGGCGAGGCGGCGGGAGGGAGGGAGGCCUUGGGGUGGUAACCCUCUUUGGCAGGGAAAGAAGGCCGCCUUGGUUUUUGGUGGGGUGACGGGAAGCGGGAAAAAAGCGCCGGCCAAAUAAGGU
rnacentral:rRNA from 1 species